GACGAACGCUGGCGGCGUGCUUAACACAUGCAAGUAGAACGCUGAGGCUCAGCUUGCUGGGUGGAUGAGUGGCGAACGGGUGAGUAACACGUGAGUAACCUGCCCUCUUCUUUGGGAUAACGCGCGGAAACGGGUGCUAAUACUGGAUAUUCACUGAUUCUCUCUUGGGGGUUGGUGGAAGGUUUAUUCUGGUGGGGGAUGGCCUCGCGGCCUAUCAGCUCGUUGGUGGGGUGAUGGCCUACCAAGGCUUUGACGGGUAGCCGGCCUGAGAGGGUGACCGGUGACAUUGGGACUGAGAUACGGCCCAGACUCCUACGGAGGGCAGCAGUGGGGAAUAUUGCACAAUGGGCGAAAGCCUGAUGCAGCGACGGCGCGUGAGGGAUGGAGGCCUUCGGGUUGUAAACCUCUUUCGCUCAUGGUCAAGCCGCAGAUUUGGGUUGUGGUGAGGGUAGUGUGUAAAGAAGCGCCGGCUAACUACGUG
rnacentral:rRNA from 1 species